ACGAACGCUGGCGGCGUGCUUAACCCCUGCCAGUCGCACGGAAAGGCCCUGCUUUUGUGGGGUGCUCGAGUGGCGAACGGGUGAGUAACACGUGAGUAACCUGCCCUUGACUUUGGGAUAACUUCAGGAAACUGGGGCUAAUACCGGAUAGGAGCUCCUGCUGCAUGGUGGGGGUUGGAAAGUUUCGGCGGUUGGGGAUGGACUCGCGGCUUAUCAGCUUGUUGGUGGGGUAGUGGCUUACCAAGGCUUUGACGGGUAGCCGGCCUGAGAGGGUGACCGGCCACAUUGGGACUGAGAUACGGCCCAGACUCCUACGGGAGGCAGCAGUGGGGAAUAUUGCACAAUGGGCGGAAGCCUGAUGCAGCAACGCCGCGUGCGGGAUGACGGCCUUCGGGUUGUAAACCGCUUUCGCCUGUGACGAAGCGUGAGUGACGGUAAUGGGUAAAGAAGCACCGGCUAACUACGUG
rnacentral:rRNA from 1 species